AGCAGCCGCCGCGGGAAUACGUAGGUGGCAAGCGUUGUCCGGAAUUAUUGGGCGUAAAGGGCUCGCAGGCGGUUUCUUAAGUCUGAUGUGAAAGCCCCCGGCUCAACCGGGGAGGGUCAUUGGAAACUGGGAAACUUGAGUGCAGAAGAGGAGAGUGGAAUUCCACGUGUAGCGGUGAAAUGCGUAGAGACGUGGAGGAACACCAGUGGCGAAGGCGACUCUCUGGUCUGUAACUGACGCUGAGGGGCGAAAGCGUGGGGAGCGAACAGGAUUAGAUACCCCCGUAGUCCCUGUCUCUUAACA
rnacentral:rRNA from 1 species